rnacentral:rRNA from 1 species
UACGGAGGAUCCGAGCGUUAUCCGGAUUUACUGGGUGUAAAGGGCGUGUAGGCGGGAGAGCAAGUCAGACGUGAAAUUCCAGGGCUCAACCCUGGAACUGCGUUUGAAACUGUUCUUCUUGAGUGAUGGAGAGGCAGGCGGAAUUCCGUGUGUAGCGGUGAAAUGCGUAGAUAUACGGAGGAACACCAGUGGCGAAGGCGGCCUGCUGGACGGUAACUGACGCUGAGGCUCGAAAGCGUGGGGAGCAAACAGG